rnacentral:misc_RNA from 1 species
GAUGAAGAACGUAGCGAAAUGCGAAAAGUAAUGUGAAUUGCAGAAUUCAGUGAAUCAUCGAGUCUUUGAACGCACAUUGCGCCCCCUGGUAUUCCGGGGGGCAUGCCUGUCCGAGCGUCAUUGCUGCCCUCAAGCACGGCUUGUGUGUUGGGCCGUCGUCCCCCUCCUAGGGGACGGGCCCGAAAGGCAGCGGCGGCACCGCGUCCGGUCCUCGAGCGUAUGGGGCUUCGUCACCCGCUCCGUAGGCCCGGCCGGCGCUUGCCGACGACCAUCAAUCUCUUUCUCCAGGUUGACCUCGGAUCAGGUAGGGAUACCCGCUGAACUUAAGCAUAUCAAUAAGCGGAGGA